rnacentral:rRNA from 1 species
CAGGCCUAACACAUGCAAGUCGAGCGGUAGAUUGAUAACGGAAGCUUCGGUGGAAGGUAUUGAUUGAGAGCGGCGAACGGGUGAGUAACACGUUGGUAUCUGCCCCCAAGUCAGGGAUAGCCAUUGGAAACGAUGAUUAAUACCGGAUAGUCUCUUUGGAGUAAAAAUUUAUUGCUUGGGGAAGAGCCUGCGUCCUAUCAGCUAGUUGGUAGUGUAAUAGACUACCAAGGCAAUGACGGGUAGCUGGUCUGAGAGGAUGAUCAGCCACAAUGGAACUGAGACACGGUCCAUACUCCUACGGGAGGCAGCAGUGAGGAAUCUUCCACAAUGGACGAAAGUCUGAUGGAGCGACACCGCGUGAAGGAUGAAGGCCUAACGGUUGUAAACUUCUUUUCUGAAGGAGCAUAAUGAGAGUACUUCAGGAAUAAGGGACGGCUAAAUACGUGCCAGCAGCCGCGGUAAUACGUAUGUCUCAAGCGUUACCCGGAAUCACUGGGUGUAAAGGGUUCGUAGGCGGUUUAAUAAGUUGAAUAUGAAAGACCGGAGCUCAACUUCGCGUUUGUAAUCAAAACUGUUAAACUAGAAUUAGGGAGAGGUAAGCGGAAUUCUGUGUGUAGGGGUGCAAUCCGUAGAUACACAGAGGAAC